rnacentral:tRNA from 1 species
GGCUCGUUAGCUCAGCCGGAUAGAGCGAUCGGUUUCUACCCGAUAGGUCGAAGUUUCGAAUACUUCACGAGUCG